GCUUACGGCCACACCGCCUGGUUCACGCUUGAUCUCGGAAGCUAAGAUAGGUUGGGCCUGGUUAGUACUUGGAUGGGGAGACCGCCUGGGAAUACCAGGUGCUGUAGGCU
ensembl:rRNA 5S_rRNA 5S ribosomal RNA